rnacentral:rRNA from 1 species
GACGAACGCUGGCGGCGUGCUUAACACAUGCAAGUCGAGCGGUAAGGCCCUUUCGGGGGUACACGAGCGGCGAACGGGUGAGUAACACGUGGGUGACCUGCCCUCAGCUCUGGGAUAAGCCUGGGAAACCGGGUCUAAUACUGGAUAUGACUCCAUGACGCAUGUUGUGGGGUGGAAAGCCUUGUGCGGCUGAGGAUGGGCCCGCGGCCUAUCAGCUUGUUGGUGGGGUGANGGCCUACCAAGGCGACGACGGGUAGCCGGCCUGAGAGGGCGACCGGCCACACUGGGACUGAGACACGGCCCAGACUCCGUACGGGAGGCAGCAGUGGGGAAUCUUGCGCAAUGGGACGAAAGCCUGACGCAGCGACGCCGCGUGAGGGAUGACGGCCUGGUGUAAC